CAGAUGUUUUUACGUGUUUAGAAAUCCCACAUUUGUAAUAAAAAGCGGCGAGUUUUGGUAGGAAUCAUCUCUUCAUUCAGAAGUCAACAAAAUGAAUAAGUCGGCACUUCUACUCUUGCUUGUCAUCGGACUCCUCGUCCUCACCGAAACUACACAUGCUUUUGCACUUACUCGUCGUCGUAAUACACCACGUCCUUGGAAUCAAAUGCAAGAAGCUAAUCAAGCUGAGGAUACUAGUGCAUCACGAAGUUAUGAAAGUUUGACGAUUUAAAGUGCAAAAUACUUGCUGUCGAUAUCAAUAAACCAACAUGCAUAUACA